rfam:Pteropus alecto contig32962, whole genome shotgun sequence.
AUGUCAGUAUAAGUAUGUCCCAUGCAAUAUUUGGGACAUGCUUAUACUAAAA